GGCCACAGCCGCCGCGGUAAUACCGGCAGCCCGAGUGAUGACCGAUCUUAUUGGGCCUAAAGCGUCCGUAGCUGGCUGCGCAAGUCCGUCGGGAAAUCCACUCGCCCAACGAGUGGGCGUCCGACGGAAACUGCACAGCUUGGGACCGGAAGGCUCGAAGGGUACGUUCGGGGUAGGAGUGAAAUCCCAUAAUCCCGCACGGACCACCGAUGGCGAAAGCACUUCGAGAAAACGGAUCCGACAGUGAGGGACGAAAGCGAGGGUCUCGAACCGGAUUAGAAACCCUAGUAGUCC
rnacentral:rRNA from 1 species